rnacentral:lncRNA from 1 species
AAUGGGAGCCCUUGGAUGAAGUGGCACGUGGCCUCAUCUCCUUAGUUCAAAUGUCUGUUCUUAGGCAUGGGACUUGACUUGCUAGCUUACGGCGCAUUUAUUGCUUGUGCAGGGCCUCCAUGCUAGUGACAAGACUUGACCUUUAUGCUUAUGACAAACGUUCCAUCAAUCAUUCGAACAAUAUCUAUGCAGGCGAUCUCU